CAAUCCAGCGGGAGAGGUGGGGACAGCCCGAACGAGCGGAUACCCCCGUCGGACGCCCUUCAAAAAAUCGCGAAAAAAUCCUAAAAAAAUCCCCCCGCCCUGGGGUGGCCGCGGGGCCAUCCCCGAGGCUCGCGCCGCCGAAUAGCUUUGGAAUAUUGAGCAUCAGAAAUAUUGUGGGAAGAUUUAAACCAAAUGUAUUUUUCAGAAAAGGCCUAUUUAACCCUUCAUUUUAUUUUGGAAAACUUAGCAGUAUCUAAAAGGUUUUGACCUUUCAAAAGAGAGAGCUGAUUCUAGAGAACAACACACUUCUGUGAUUUGAAAAGUCAUGCGUCCUAUGGGGAAAAUGGAUGAGAGAAUAAUUAAGGUCCAAAUAUGAAGAUAAAAUGAAGAAAGCCCAUUGUUGUUUUUUUUGCGAUAGUUAAUUCUUGACUUCAAUUGAAGGAUCAUUCUUGAUUUUAACUGCUGGUUCAAGGUGCAUUUGAAGUAUUUCCACCCUGAUUUAUGUACUGUAAGAAUGUGCUUUAAGAGCAAGGUGAGAAAUGGAAUGAGAAAUUAGCACUACUCUUGCAUUUCUGCAUUGAAGUGAAAAUGUAAGUCUUUAUUUUCAAAAGUAUCUGUACUUUUUUAAUAAUAAUUCCUCACCCAUUUUGAGUAAAU